rnacentral:ncRNA from 2 species
AAGUUUAUACCGCCGACAGGUACCCUUGGGGUUUAAUAGGGAAUCAGGUGCAAAUCCUGAGCGGUCCCGCCACUGUAACCGGGGAUAAACUGCUGAGCCACUGGGAGAAAUCCUGGGAAGGCGCAGGGAAGAUGAUCCGGUAGCCAGGAGACCUGCCCGUCGGCCGCGGUACGA